rnacentral:tRNA from 1 species
CUCGCGAAGGGCGUCGGCGGCCCGGUGCGCUUCGACCUCGUCGGCUACGACGGCGAGUCGGUCGAGUCGAUCGUUGUCGACUUCCCGGGC